rnacentral:rRNA from 1 species
CCCUUAGAUGUUCUGGGCCGCACGCGCGCUACACUGAAGGCAUCAGCGUGUCCUUCCCUCCCCGAGAGGGGCGGGUAACCCGCUGAACCGCUUUCGUGGUAGGGAUCGGGGCUUGCAAUUAUUCCCCGUGAACCAGGAAUUCCCAGUAAGCGCGAGUUAUAAGCUCGCGUUGAUUACGUCCCUGCCCUUUGUACACACCGCCCGUCGCUACUACCGAUUGAACGUUUUAGUGAGGUAUUUGGAUCGGACCUGAAGGGGUUCACGCCCUUUCUGUGUCUGAGAAGACUCCCAAACUUGAGCGUUUAGAGGAAGUAAAAGUCGUAACA